UACGGAGGGAGCUAGCGUUGUUCGGAAUUACUGGGCGUAAAGCGCACGUAGGCGGCUUUUUAAGUCAGGGGUGAAAUCCCGGGGCUCAACCCCGGAACUGCCCUUGAAACUGGAGAGCUAGAAUCUUGGAGAGGCGAGUGGAAUUCCGAGUGUAGAGGUGAAAUUCGUAGAUAUUCGGAAGAACACCAGUGGCGAAGGCGACUCGCUGGACAAGUAUUGACGCUGAGGUGCGAAAGCGUGGGGAGCAAACGGG
rnacentral:rRNA from 1 species